rnacentral:rRNA from 1 species
AAAGCCUGACGGAGCAACGCCGCGUGAGUGAAGAAGGCCUUCGGGUCGUAAAGCUCUGUCCUUAGGGAAGAAAGGUACUUAUGUGAAUAAUGUAAGUAACUGACGGUACCUAUGGAGGAAGCCCCGGCUAACUACGUGCCAGCAGCCGCGGUAAAACGUAGGGGGCAAGCGUUGUCCGGAAUUACUGGGCGUAAAGAGCGUGUAGGCGGCUAAUUAAGUUAGAUGUGAAACCUGGAGGCGCAACCACCAGCUUGCAUCUAAAGCUGGUUAGCUUGAGGACAGGAGAGGAGAGCGGAAUUCUCAGUGUAGCGGUGAAAUGCGUAGAUAUUGAGAGGAACACCAGUGGCGAAGGCGGCUCUCUGGCCUGUAACUGACGCUGAGGCGCGAAAGCGUGGGGAGCAAAC